ACGCAAAAAAAAAAGGAACUUGCCUUUCACUUUCCCCUCAGCUUCCUCCUCCAUUCCUCUUUGCUGUGCCGGUGCGACAGCGAUCGAAGUAGCCAACACGGCGCGGCGGCGGCGGCGGCGGCGGUUUUCCUGACCGUCUUCGGACUACCGGAAGCAGCACCACCGUAUUUGGCUUGCGUCGAUCUAGCCACACCCGCAGGAACCCAGAGGUGUCUACAUCAUCCUAGUAAAAUCCAGUCAAUCAGUUCCCUCUUUCUCUUCCAUCCAUCUCGAGUCGCCAAUCACUUGCCUGGGUCUACAAUCUACAUACUGGUGACUGUGAGUAGAUCCGGCUGUGCAAGCUAUCAUUCAGUCGAUUGAUCUGCAAAUGAUGAUGGCCGACAGCAGAAAGGGAUAGCAGCUUUUCUUUAUCAUGGGCAUCCGAGACCGAUAGGAGUGAUCUUGGACAUCACCGUUCACCGUACCUCGAGCUCUACCUCCACGACCAAAGAAAUUGGUAUCCAGACUCCAAUCUCUAUGAGCAUAUCCCGGGCCAUUGGGGUCAUUAGUGGCCUCAAUGAAUGUGUCAAUUUGUUUCAGUGGGCUGGAUCUUCUAUUUCGUAUCUGCGCUCCCGGUGGUCUGCAACACAGGAGGAAAGUAUCCAUCAUGAAGUAUUGCACUUGCAGAGUGGCUUACAACGUCUUAGGGAUACUCUUCCUGCAAUGUACAGUCUUAUUGACAAAGCAGAGUGGAGGAUCCAUGAAGGCCGUGUCGCUGAGCUCCUCCCCAACCUCAAAGAUGCAGUGAAUGAUGCUGAUGAUCUUCUUGAUGAGUUCAGAUGGCAUGAGCUAAAGAUGGAGGUGGAGGGCAAUGCAAGUCAUUCUGCCUUUAUUGACUUCUACAAGACUACCGUACAAGGCAGCUUCAACAAAGUGAAUGAUAUCCAAGAGAGGUUGAAUAGUAUUUCUGGUCAGCUAGAGAAAAUGGGGCUGUAUGGAGUGACACCAGGGUUCGACAAAUCAGUCAGGCCAGACACUACCCCUUUCCCGAAUGAAAAAAAAAUAUUUGGUCGUGACAAGGAUCUGAAGGAGGUGAUGGGAUUUCUCGGUGUACCUCAAAGUAAAGGAAGGGCCUGUUCAAAACGCAAGAGAGCAAGUAGCACAGUCAAUGCAUCAACAAGCACAACAGCACAGAACCAAGUUAAUAAAUCAAGAAUAUCAGCUAUUCCUGUUUUGCCAAUAGUUGGAAUGGGGGGCGUUGGAAAGACCACUUUGGCUCAACAUAUAUGCAAUCAUCAAGAGGUGAAAGAGUACUUUGACUUAAUAAUCUGGAUUUGUGCAGAUGACUUUGAUGUAAAGAGAUUAAUUAAAGAUGCCAUACAAUCCGCUUCCGGAAAAAAGACAACACUCGAUCAUUUAGCUUCUCUUCAACAUGCUCUUUCUAGCAGUGUGAGCAAUAAAAGGUUCUUGAUUGUUGUUGAUGACGUGUGGGAUGAUGCCUUGAUGGAAAAUGAGCAGCGUUGGAAAGACUUCUAUGAUUCUUUGACAAACGUGGUACAGGGAAGUAUGAUGUUGGUCACAACAAGAUUUCCAGAUGUUGCUGAUAGAGUGCGCACAAUGGAGCCCUUUCCAUUAGCUGGUUUGAAGGAGGAUGUGUUUUGGCGUUUCUUCAAACUUUGUGCAUUUGGGUCUGAGAGUUGCGAAAAUGAUCCUGAGUUAGUGAGGAUUGGCAAAAGCAUAGUUCCAAAGUUGAAGGGUUCUCCUUUGGCCGCCAAAACUCUUGGACGCCUAUUAGGAAUGAACCUUCAUACAGCACAUUGGAAUAAUAUACUGGAGAGUGAACUCUGGAAGUUGAAACAAGAGAAGACUGAUAUCUUGCCAGCCCUUCGGUUGAGCUACAUAUAUUUGCCAUUUCACUUGAAGAGAUGCUUCUCAUUCUGUGCUGUGUAUGCCAAAGAUCACAAAUUUGAAAAGGGCCGCUUAGCUGAAAUUUGGGUAGCAGAGGGCUUUGUGGAACCUCAAGGCAACACUCCACUUGAAGAUAUUGGCCAUCAGUACUUUGAGGACCUUGUAAAUAGGUCCUUCUUUCAAAAAGUUCGUGGUACAUACGUAAUCCAUGACUUGCUGCAUGACAUGGCAAAACUAGUUUCAGACCAUGACUGCUUCACCAUAAAAAGUAUGAGGGACUUCCAAAUGGUUCCCCAGAAUGUUCGUCAUCUGUACAUACUGCCAAGCAGAGACUUGAGCACUUCCAACUUGUUGAGCCUAAGCAAGCACACAAAGCUGCGUACGCUAAUUUGUGACAAGUCUUUUGGGAAUCAAGGUGCAGCUAUAAUGGACCGUUGGUGUAGUGAGCUUCAGCGUUUACGUGUGAUUUUUUGGGCCUCUUCAAAUGAGUUGCCAGACAGUAUUGGCAACUUGAAGCAUCUUCGGUACCUUGAAAUCUCCAAGGCUUGUCCUUCCAAGAGCUUUUCUUCAGCAUUUUGUUCCCUCUAUAAUCUGCAGAGAUUAUACGUGAAGGAGUGCGAGUUAGAAAGUUUGCCCUGUGACUUUAGUAAGUUAAUAAGUUUACAGAGAUUUAAAUCACGAGGAUUUGAAUAUUAUGCAGGGUGCACUCUAAAUAUUGAUGCAACCAAUCAGUUCGAAAUGAAGUUGAUAAAGAAUUUGAACCAAUUUGAUGGACAUAUGAACAUACGGAAUCUUGGUUCUGUGAGGAAUUGUUAUGCAGAAGAAUUUAAACUGAAGGAUAAGAAGUAUCUUCGCAGACUGGCAUUGACAUGGUCUUUGUCGUACUCUCCUGAGGGUGUCGCGAAAGAAGUGCUUCAAGUCCUACAACCUCCCAGCGGUCUUGAAUCUCUGCUCCUUAAAGAUUAUCCAGAUGUGUCUCUCCCAAACUGGUUUCAGCUGCGUAUAAACCUAAAUGAGAUGCCUGCUGUGAUAGUUGACAACAAUAAUGACGAGAUUGGUACUUUGUCGUCCUUUGAAGAGCUAAUCAUUCUUCAGUGUCGAAAUCUACGAAGCGUCCAACAACUUCUGCAUCCAGCUUAUGUGCCUGCCAUCAAGAAAUUAAGGGUUGUUGAUUGCAACCAGUUAGAAUCAUUACCAACUGAAAGGUUUGGGGAUUUUCAUUCCCUUGAGAUAUUAGAAGUGCAUGGUUGUCCAGAAAUCGACUCGAGAAGUUUGGUGGCGCACUCCCUCAAGAAGCUCUUAUUGGCAAGUUCUCAUCUCACAGACAAUAUCCAGUGCUGCUCCCUCACCGAGUUCUAUUUAUCAUGUGACUAUGUCACGACCAUCAAACCCCAAAUGUGGAAUCUUCCAGCUCUACAAAAGUUGCAUAUUGCAUACUGCAUAUCUCUUACAUCUGUUGCACAAGGACAACCACCCAUCAGGGCAUUCGAAUCCCUUACAUUGCUAAUCAUUGACAAUUGUGAGAACCUGACAAGCCUUGAUGGUCUCCUAGCGGAACAAUGUUUGCCUGCCAUUCGAAGUGUUGAUGUUAGGAAUUGUGGCAAGUUACAGUUCCUUUUUGGUGAAAGGCCUGGGAGUUUUCCUUACCUGGAAGAUUUGUGGGUUCGUGAUUGCCCUAGUCUCAAAUGGCCAAGGGAACUGGUGUUACCAUCAUCCCUAGAAAAGCUUCACUUAGUUCGAUGUGGGGAUAUUUCCUCCUGGUUUUUGAGCUGCCUACAAAACCUCAAAUCUCUGGUUGAUCUGGCUUUGAUUGGAUGUCCAAGUAUUACAUCCAUUCCACCCGGCGCUUGCAGAAGUAAUCUCGCAUCACUUCGUGAUUUGCAUAUCUCGGGUUGUCCGGACCUCGUGUCAAUUGGUGGAGCAAAGGCAGUUGCAAAAAUAAAGUAUGUGUGCAUUUACGAUUGCCCAAAGAUGGAGGAUCUUAAGCAGCCUGUGAGCAGAUGCACAGAUAUGUUGUCAAUUACACUUCGACCUUCACCUUCCUGUUCAUUUCCGGAUCAGUUGUGAGGUGAGGCUGCUUCCGCUGAUCUUAUAAGAGAGUGGGGUAUCUCUUUCCACAUGCUUAUUACCAACUGAGAGUUACCUCGCAUCAAGGCCAGUGAGGAGGAAAAAUGCAUCUCUCCAGCCAAAACUUAUAUGCUGAUAACUACCGGAUCCGCAGAACGGCAGAAGACGCCUUCUAACCGUUCAUAACGCCCCGAUGUCUUUCAUAAUGCCCCGACGCAAUCCAGUAAUUUCUAAUGUGUUUCUACGAGUGUCUGAGAACCAUGAAAACCAGUGAACCGGGAUCUUCCAAAAAAAAAAUGUUUCUACGAGUGUCUGAGAACAUAUUCUGCUGUAUUUGCGAUAAGUGAGGGUAAAACUCGUAUUGCGCUAGUGUUGCCUGCCUUUUAUGGUGUGUCAUUUGCUUGUGUUUUUGCUCGGUUGAUUUGUAAACAAUUUUAUACUCCAAACUUGGCUAGUGACAGCUCGUGCCGACU